GAUGAACGCUGGCGGCGUGCCUAACACAUGCAAGUCGAACGAAGCACCUUACCUGAUUCUUCGGAUGAAAGUUUGGUGACUGAGUGGCGGACGGGUGAGUAACGCGUGGGUAACCUGCCCUGUACAGGGGGAUAACAGCUGGAAACGGCUGCUAAUACCGCAUAAGCGCACGAGGAGACAUCUCCUUGUGUGAAAAACUCCGGUGGUACAGGAUGGGCCCGCGUCUGAUUAGCUGGUUGGCAGGGUAACGGCCUACCAAGGCAACGAUCAGUAGCCGGUCUGAGAGGAUGAACGGCCACAUUGGAACUGAGACACGGUCCAAACUCCUACGGGAGGCAGCAGUGGGGAAUAUUGCACAAUGGGGGAAACCCUGAUGCAGCAACGCCACGUGAGUGAAGAAGUAUUUCGGUAUGUAAAGCUCUAUCAGCAGGGAAGAUAAUGACGGUACCUGACUAAGAAGCUCCGGCUAAAUACGUG
rnacentral:rRNA from 1 species